UUCAGGAGGGUAGCCUGGCCAGUGGAUCACUCCUAUUGACUAGUACAGUAUUUCUUUUAUGGGAUCAUUCCUCACACAAUGAGGGAGACAGUGGCCCAGAGGUGGCCAAGCCUAUGUCCUCCAAGGGCACUGUUGCCCAGCUGCACCAAGUGGCUCUUUCGACGGAUGACUCAUUGAUAUGGCUCUUUUUGAGCCAACAGGAAAAAUCUCUCCUGAGACCAUCUAAUGAUAUGGGUAAGAACAACAGCUCAUUUCCAGGCAGACAUGUGAUUCAACUUCUGAGGUCAGAGUGGCCAAGUGC